AUAUGAUGUAGUAUUAUCGCAAUUUCAGUUUGUGAACCAUAUAGUAAUAAAAAUAAAACAAAAUCUUAGAUGUUUUGCGUUCAAAUCACUUUUAUGAUUUUAUUUUAAUACAGAUAAUUUGAAUUUAAAUUUAUCCAAGUAAUGGCUGUUUCUACAACUCUACAGAAAGCAAUAGACUUAGUUACAAAAGCAACUGAAGAAGAUCGCAACAAAAACUAUGAAGAAGCAUUAAAACUAUAUGAGAGCGGGAUUGAAUAUUUUUUACAUGCUCUUAAAUAUGAAACUCAAGGGGAUAAAGCUAAAGAUAGUAUACGUAGUCGCUGUACUCAAUAUUUAGAAAGAGCAGAAAAAUUAAAAGAUUAUUUAAAAAAUGGAAAAAAUAAAAAGAAACCUGUAAAAGCUGGAGAAUCUAAUUCCAAAAAUGAUGAUAAGAAAAAUGAUAGUGAUGAUGACGGCGAUGACCCUGAAAAGAAAAAAUUACAAAACAAGUUGGAAGGUGCUAUAGUUGUUGAAAAACCACAUGUUAAAUGGUCUGAUAUUGCUGGUUUGGAAGGUGCAAAAGAAGCGCUAAAAGAAGCUGUAAUUCUACCAAUAAAAUUUCCACAUCUUUUUACCGGAAAAAGAAUUCCUUGGAAAGGAAUAUUACUGUUUGGGCCCCCUGGAACUGGUAAAUCAUAUUUAGCAAAAGCUGUAGCAACGGAAGCAAAUAAUUCUACAUUUUUUUCUGUGUCAUCAUCUGAUCUUGUUUCCAAGUGGUUGGGAGAAUCAGAAAAACUUGUCAAGAAUCUUUUUGAAUUAGCUCGACAACAUAAACCUAGUAUUAUAUUUAUUGAUGAGGUUGACUCACUUUGUUCUUCACGAUCAGACAAUGAAUCAGAAUCAGCUCGACGUAUUAAGACCGAAUUCCUUGUACAAAUGCAAGGAGUUGGUACUGAUAAUGAAGGUAUUCUUGUAUUGGGAGCCACAAACAUUCCAUGGGUCUUAGAUGCAGCUAUACGUAGACGUUUUGAGAAACGUAUUUAUAUUCCUCUACCAGAAGAACAUGCUCGGUUGGAUAUGCUAAAACAAAAUUUAGGUAACACAUACAAUACAUUAACAGAGAUGGAUCUUAAACAAUUAGCAGCCAAAACUGAAGGAUAUUCAGGGGCAGAUAUUAGUAUAGUUGUAAGAGAUGCCUUGAUGCAACCAGUACGUAAAGUUCAAACAGCUACACAUUUCAAAAAAGUCACUGGUCCUAGUCGAGCUGAUCCUAAAGUCAUUGUUAAUGACCUACUUACUCCUUGUUCGCCAGGAAGUCCUGGUGCCAUAGAAAUGUCAUUCAUGGAAGUUCCUAGUGACAAACUUCUUGAGCCAGCAGUAUCUAUGAGUGAUAUGCUUAGAUCUUUAGCUACAUCUAAACCUACAGUAAAUGAUGAAGAUAUGAAAAAACUUGAUAAGUUCACACUAGAUUUUGGGCAAGAAGGUUGAUUAUAAGUUCUAACUUAUAAAUGUGCAGGUUUUAUAUAAUUGAUGUUUAAAGGUUAAUAUUACUGUUAUAUGUAAUAUAUAUAUAUAAAUAUGAAGUUGAGUAAAAGUUCUAUUAAUUAAAUACACACAAUUAAAAAUAAAAUGGACAACAAAUUCAAAGAACACUAGAAUUACAUAAGCAUAAAUUAUUAUUGUUAUUUGUUACUUUUUUAAAUUAUUUAAAUAUUAUGCAAAUGUAAUAACAAGGACUAAGACAUUACUUAAAAAAUGUAUUUUUUUUAUAAUCGUCAGACUAGAAUUCUUAAUAGCUAAUAACUAAAAUACAUUAAAUAUAUUUUUGAGAGAUUGAAAAACUUAUUUUCUUUUUUACUUAUAAAUUAUGCUAAAAUACAUAUUUUUGUAUGAUAGCAUAGGUAAUUAAUAAAUAAAUUUAAAAAUAUUUAUUUUUGUUAGUUUGUAAGGGAAUUAAAAAAAUAAUAUUUACUAAUUAUUUAUAACAAACAAAUGUAUUUAAAUCUAGGAAAAUAGUAAUAUAAUCAAUAUAAAACAUUCAAUAUUAA